rnacentral:rRNA from 1 species
UACGGAGGGUGCAAGCGUUACUCGGAAUUACUGGGCGUAAAGCGCGUGUAGGUGGUUUUGUAAGUCUGGUGUGAAAUCCCGGGGCUCAACCCCGGAAGUGCAUUGGAUACUGCAAGACUAGAGUGCAGGAGAGGAUGGCGGAAUUCCAGGUGUAGAGGUGAAAUUCGUAGAUAUCUGGAGGAACAUCGGAGGCGAAGGCGGCCAUCUGGACUGCAACUGACACUGAGACGCGAAAGCGUGGGGAGCAAACAGG